rnacentral:rRNA from 1 species
UACAGAGGUGGCAAGCGUUGUUCGGAAUUACUGGGCGUAAAGGGCGCGUAGGCGGCCUUCUAAGUCAGACGUGAAAUCCCCCGGCUUAACCUGGGAACUGCGUCUGAUACUGGGAGGCUUGAGUAUGGGAGAGGGAUGUAGAAUUCCAGGUGUAGCGGUGAAAUGCGUAGAUAUCUGGAGGAAUACCGGUGGCGAAGGCGGCAUCCUGGACCAUAACUGACGCUGAGGCGCGAAAGCUAGGGUAGCAAACGGG